AGAACCAGAACCAAACACAGAACCGGACCAAAACCGGAUCAGAACCAGCAGCGACGCCCCCUGCUGUCUGAAAUAGCCUCUGACACGGAACUGGACCCAGUGGUUCCGGUCAAAGUUCUGGACUGAAUGACCCGGAUAUGAGCUGGACCGGGUCAAAGCCUGUUCUACCAUCAGCUGGUUCUGGUUCCAGUUCUGAACAGGGAGCAAAGUGGAAAGUAACAAAUUAAUUGGGCCGGACCAGCAGAACCAUCAGGUCCAGUUCAGGCACAUGGUCCGAACCAGUAACCUUCUGCUCCCAGUACAGCUUAGUGGACCAGAGUUCUAACUGGUUCCGGCUGGUUCUGAAGUAGUUCAGCUCACCAGCUCUCGGUGUUCUGCUCGAACCGAACCGGGCCGGACCAAACUCUGCUGCUGAUUCAAUUACACUGACCUAAGAACCGGAACCAGAACCGGAACCAGAACCGGAUCACCACCAGUUAUCUCAUCCCGGUCCAGUUAUGAUCCCGACCAGAACCAGCAGGUCUGCUGCUCAGUCAGAACACCGAGGCUCAUCCAUCCAGCAUCCAACCGGUUGGAUGCUCCAAGUUUCCACAAAGAAACAUCAGCAGCAGCAGCAGCAUGACCGAUCAAUCAGUCAAUCAAUCAAUCAAUCAAUCAGUUUAUUAGUCUAGAACAUUUGAGCACUUCAACGUGUUUUACAUCAAAUGACGUCACAGAAUCAU